AUGAACGCUGGCGGCGUGCCUAAUACAUGCAAGUCGAACGCAUAGCGAAAGGUGCUUGCACCUUUCAAGUGAGUGGCGAACGGGUGAGUAACACGUGGACAACCUGCCUCAAGGCUGGGGAUAACAUUUGGAAACAGAUGCUAAUACCGAAUAAAACUUAGUGUCGCAUGACACAAAGUUAAAAGGCGCUUCGGCGUCACCUAGAGAUGGAUCCGCGGUGCAUUAGUUAGUUGGUGGGGUAAAGGCCUACCAAGACAAUGAUGCAUAGCCGAGUUGAGAGACUGAUCGGCCACAUUGGGACUGAGACACGGCCCAAACUCCUACGGGAGGCUGCAGUAGGGAAUCUUCCACAAUGGGCGAAAGCCUGAUGGAGCAACGCCGCGUGUGUGAUGAAGGCUUUCGGGUCGUAAAGCACUGUUGUAUGGGAAGAACAGCUAGAAUAGGAAAUGAUUUUAGUUUGACGGUACCAUACCAGAAAGGGACGGCUAAAUACGUG
rnacentral:rRNA from 1 species